rnacentral:tRNA from 1 species
UCCCAGGUGGCUCAGAUGGUAAAAGAAUCCGCCUGCAACGUGGCAGACGUGGGUUUGAUUCCUGGCUUGGGAA